rnacentral:misc_RNA from 1 species
CGUCACACCAUGAGAGUUGGCAAUACCCAAAGUUCGUGAGCUAACCCGUAAGGAGGCAGCGACCUAAGGUAGGGUCAGCGAUUGGGGUGAAGUCGUAACAAGGUAGCCGUAGGAGAACCUGCGGCUGGAUCACCUCCUUUCUAUGGAGAAAUCUAGUUAACACGACGUUUAACUAGUAAUUAAAAUAUACUUACUUCGAAAAAGAAGGUUUAAUUUAAUGUAGAUUCUGUUCAAUUUUGAAAGACUAAGUCUUUCAAAAUGUUCUUUGAAAAUUGCACAUAGAAUACGAAGUUUAAAGAAGAUUAAUACAAAAAUCAUGAAAAUGACGUAAGUAAUAAGAUUCAAUAAAUAAGUAUAUUGUAUAUAAUACAACAAGCCAAGAAUAUAUUCUUUGUAUAAAUAAGAACUAUUCAUUAAUUGUUAAAAUUAAAUUAAUA